CCCUUUUCAAUGGGCUGGGCUUGUGUCAACCACUACCCAAAAAUGCAUAAUUUUGCUGGACCUCAUCAUUUAAACGCAUUAACCCACCAAAGAAAAAGUAUUAAAGCCAUGGUUGCCCCACCUUUGUUUAUAAUGUUGUUCGAAAGAUGCACGCGGAAGUGUAACGUUUUGCCAAAAACAAAUUUAUAGAUUUUAAUGUGUCAUAAAGGAUUUUCAUGUAGAUACAUUAAAUUUUAAAAACAAAAACAACUAAAACUGGAAAUCUUACAUUGUAUCCUUUGAUCAGUGAUGAAAGCUGACGCCCACCAUCCAUCGUACUGAAUUAUCCAUACAAUAAAGAUGAAGGAAAGAGCUUCUUCAUGCUCAACUAUAGGGCUGGGAACAUGGUCAUGUGAGAGCCAAGGGUGGACCACACAUGUAUGCAUGCGUGAUGAUGGGAGAGGGAAAGAGAAAAGAGGAACCUCCUAAUUUCUCUGCUCCCUUCUGUUUCUCUCUCAUAUUUAUCUCCAAAUAUUGAAGGUCUUUUCUCUAUCCACUUCCAGUGGGACAUGAUCUAUUCAUAAGGAGUCGGUGAUCAGAGGCUUUAAGUUCCUACACAGGUGGAGGAAAACACAUGGGACUUCUAAAUAAUUAGUUAAUUUGGCUUUGGUUGCCAUUCAAUUAGUGGCUAACAUAAUAGAUGGUUUAAAUCUUAACCAACAAAGUUCCUUUUUUUUUUCUUUUUUUUUUUUUGGUUUUCUCACAAACAAAAGUUCUAUUCAUAGAUUUAGAGUAUCCAUCUUGUGGGCUCAAUAGUUGUUAACCAAGAUGGAAGCUGGUAAAGAAGGGUCUUUUUUUUUUUUUUUUGUGUGUGUGUUUUAGUUACUAAUACUUAUUUUUCAAAUAAAAAAUCAAUUAUUGAGAAAAAUAUAUCCUAACCAUUUCUCAAGAUAAGAAACAAAUUCUAGCCAUGCUCCAAAAACAAGUAAUUCUUUCAGAAUUUGCUUACCAAACAGGUACUAAAUAGAAUCGAUUUUAUCCAUGAGAAGAAG